rnacentral:rRNA from 4 species
UUGACCUCAAAUCAGGUAGGACUACCCGCUGAACUUAAGCAUAUCAAUAAGCGGAGGAAAAGAAACUAACAAGGAUUCCCCUAGUAACUGCGAGUGAAGCGGGAAAAGCUCAAAUUUGAAAUCUGGCAGUUCUUUUGACUGUCCGAGUUGUAAUCUAGAGAAGUGUUACCUGUGCUGGACCAUGUACAAGUCUUCUGGAAUGGAGCAUCAUAGAGGGUGAGAAUCCCGUCUUUGACAUGGACUACCAGUGCACUGUGGUGCGCUCUCAAAGAGUCGAGUUGUUUGGGAAUGCAGCUCAAAAUGGGUGGUAAAUGCCAUCUAAAGCUAAAUAUUGGCGAGAGACCGAUAGCGAACAAGUACCGUGAGGGAAAGAUGAAAAGAACUUUGGAAAGAGAGUUAAACAGUACGUGAAAUUGCUGAAAGGGAAACGCUUGAAGUCAGUCACGUUGGCUAGAAAUCAGCCUUGCUUUUGCUUGGUGUACUUUCUGGUUUGACGGGUCAGCAUCGAUUUCUACCAUUGGAUAAAGUCUCUGGGAAUGUGGCAUCUUUGGAUGUGUUAUAGCCCAUUGUCGCAUACAAUGGUUGGGAUCGAGGAACUCAGCACGCCGCAAGGCCGGGUUUUAGCCACGUUCGUGCUUAGGAUGCUGGCAUAAUGGCUUUAAUCGACCCGUC